GUUUCGUUUCCAUAGAAACGGCGACAUGUCAACAAAUUGAAAUUUCCUUCAAUUCACGCAAGUCGCGAAGAAAUAAUUUAAUUACGAUGAAAAACAUUGUUUUUUAGUAACAAAAACUUGAAUUGCACUUAGUCUAUCUUCCAAAGAUCUUCUCCAUGAUGGGCCUACUGAAUAUUUUGAAAAAGCUGCGGUCUAACCCUGACAAAGAGUUGCGUUUGCUACUUCUUGGACUGGACAAUGCUGGUAAAACGACACUCCUAAAGCAGUUGGCGUCAGAAGAUGUGAAUCAUGUCACUCCCACAGCGGGUUUUAAUAUUAAAUCAGUUUUAUCCAAUGGUUUUAAGCUAAAUGUGUGGGAUAUCGGCGGUCAGAGGAAGAUAAGACCGUAUUGGAGAAACUAUUUUGAAAAUACCGAUAUUUUGAUUUACGUAGUGGACUGUUCUGAUCAUCAAAGACUGGAGGAAACUGGUCAAGAGUUAGCAGAAUUACUGGAAGAUGACAAGUUACGUGGCGUACCACUGCUGGUGUAUGCAAAUAAACAAGACUUGGCUACAGCAUUACCAGCCAGUGAGAUAGCCCAGCACCUAGGUCUGCACCUCAUAAGGGAUCGCACUUGGCAGAUACAAGCCUGUGUAGCUACUGAUGGCACUGGAGUCAAGGAGGGAAUGGAGUGGGUCUGCAAAAACAUCCCCGCUAAGAAAUAGUACAUUUCUAUACUUAUGAUAAAAAUAAUUCCUUACGCUUAACGUUAGUAGAAGUUGUAUUAUUAUCUUUAAAUAAUAAUAAUGUAAAAAAAUAAUGACUACCAAAUGAAAAUAAUGAUAUUAUUUAUUUUAAAACUUAUUCUAGUCUGAAGGAAUCCGUCCAAAGUUAUAUUAUGUGAAUAUGAAAUACUUUAUCAGCUAAUUCGAUGCUUGAGUAUGUAUUGCUGAUAUUAAAUAACUUUUUAUACUUUUAAGUACCUUAUAAGUUUAUUUAAAUAUUUAUUCUAUAUAAAUCUAUGUAGAAAGAAGCAAUAACCGCGCGGUUUAAAUAUAUGCUCUUGUAAACAGUUGUGAAUGGCACGUUAAACUGUAGGUCCCGGUUGUCAUUGAACAUCCUUGCCAGUCGUUACGGGUAGUUAGAAACCAGUAAGUCUGACACCACUCUAACCAAGGGGUAUCGAGUUGACCGGGUAACUGGGUUAAGGAGGUCAGAUAGGCAGUCGCUUCUUGUAAAGCACUGGUACUCAGCUGAAUCCGGUUAGACUGGAAGCCGACCCCAACAUAGUUUGGGAAAAGGCUCGGAGGAUGAUGUCUG
rnacentral:misc_RNA from 1 species